rnacentral:lncRNA from 1 species
AUGCCAGAGUGGGUGCCAACCUCACUCCUUUCCUCUUUAUUACAGUUGAAGUGCUUGGACAUCAUCUCUCGCAUGGACCUGAGACUGUCAUCGAAGCCUCCCUUUCCAGCCUCUGCCACCUGCUUAUCAUCACCUCUGCAACCGGGUGCUUCCUCCCCUCAAAGAGAAAAAAUGAGUUUCAUUAAUGAAGAAAACAAGAACAAGUGUGUGAUGAAGAAGGAAGGCAGUGGUGUGGCUUGUGGGCUCUCCCAAGAUCCUGCUUGCCUACCUUGGGCUUUUCCCUCCUGGUCUUUCUCUUAAAGGCAGAACAAAGAAUACAUGAAAAGAUGGAUUAAAAAAUUCCUAUUUCUGUGCCCUUUUCUCAUUUUGUAAGUUGACGCUCCUGUCAAGGUAAAGAGAGGGAAUGAAUAUGAAGAACUCACUUUUCCAUAGCAGAGAUGUGAUUCUUAUUUCCUAUUCCACUACUGUCUAGUGCAGCAUGAAGCUGCUUGGGGUGUUAAUGUGCUUUGAAAUGCUCCCAAAAGCCUGGGUGACCAAAGAGGACAGGGAGGGAGCUUCAGUUAUACCUGGUGGAAAUUGCAAUCAUUUGAGUCUUAUUUUUUUUUCCCUGUCAAGAUAAUUGCAAGGCACUGACUCAUUGAGGAGCUGUGAGGAGAUGGGAUGGAAAUCCAUAGCUGAGACUUCUUAGACCUGCCCUGGUCUCUACCUCUGGAACUCUGGACUGCCAGCAGGGGCCCAGGCCAGCAGCAGCCUGCAGGAUAUUGUAGUGGAUUUUGCUGAGAUCUUUGCAGCUUCCACCAAGAAGUUCAGUAACAUCAUCCAUCCUGAACCUUGCAGGGCACCCAACUCAUCAUCCUGCUCUGCAGGGCAUGCAGGCUGAGCUGGCUGGGGCUUGAGGAACGUAAGUUUUUUCCUUCCCUUCAUAUUUCCUUUCUGAUGUCUUGUGGGAGAGCAAGAGGUGACCAGGUGUGCAAGGAGGGGAUGUGUCCCUUCCAUCCCAGCUCAAGUGACACAAAUGCCAGGGAGGAAGGAGCAAAACCAGACCAGAGUCCAGGAAAGCAUCUGCUGCUGGAGGAAACCUGGUUGAAGGCAAUGCCAGGGUGGUUGCCAGGCAAAGGAGGAUGGUAGGGUGCUCAUGGGGAAGACAUGGACAGAACAGAUGGUGGCAAGCUGAGAGCAGGAAGUAUGGAGGAGGGAAAGCACCAUAUGGUAAAUGUGGGUGAGCAGAGAAAGAAGUGUCAUUGUUUUCAGUUCUUCAUAGCUGCCCAGAAGCUAAAUAUUUGCAGCAUGAGUUGUGUUU